UUGACUUCGUGAGAGGCUAAGGG
rnacentral:miRNA from 1 species